rnacentral:rRNA from 1 species
AACGAACGCUGGCGGCAGGCCUAACACAUGCAAGUCGAGCGCGCCCUUCGGGGUGAGCGGCGGACGGGUGAGUAACGCGUGGGAACGUACCCUUUGCUACGGAAUAGCCUCGGGAAACUGAGAGUAAUACCGUAUACGCCCUUUGGGGGAAAGAUUUAUCGGCAAAGGAUCGGCCCGCGUUGGAUUAGGUAGUUGGUGGGGUAAUGGCCCACCAAGCCGACGAUCCAUAGCUGGUUUGAGAGGAUGAUCAGCCACACUGGGACUGAGACACGGCCCAGGCGACUACGGGGCGCGGCAGUGGGGAGUACGAGACUAGGGGGGCACCGCGAAUAUCGCGAGGCCGCGUGAGUGAUGAAGGCGUGAGGGUGUGAAACCUCUUGGAGCGGAAAAGAUAAUGACGGUCCCAGCAGAAGAGGCCCCGGCAAACUCCGGGCCAGAAGCGGCGUUAAUGGAGGAACAGCACACGCCUUAUC